rnacentral:SRP_RNA from 1 species
GCCAGGCGUGGUGGUGCAUGCCUGUAGUCCCAGCUACUUAGGAGGCUGAGGUGGGAGGAUCGCUUGAGCCCAGGAGGUCAAGGCUGUAGUAAGCCAUGAUCACACCACUGCACUGCAGCCUGGGCUACACAGUGAGACCCUGUCUCAA